CUCUACUAUUAUCUAGUAUUACUAUAUUUUUCCAUUAACAUAAAAAAGCAUAUUCUUUCUCAUUUUUAUUGAAUAAAUAAAAAGCAAAAUUUUCAUUUUUAUCUAGAAUUUAAAUUGUAAAAAAAAAAAAAACUUCAUAAAAGAUUAGGAAAAGUAAAAGUAUAUGAUAUAGAAACCUAUAAUAUAAAUGAAUACAAAUAAAAACAAACAAAUCGAACCAAAUUAUAAAAAGUACUUGUUAUUUUUAAAGUUUAAAGAAACUAUGUAAGGCAAAUAGUACUAAAUAAAAAAAGGAGCAAUAACGCCCUCUUGUUUUAUCAAGAGGGAAGCUAUUGCUCCUUUUUUAGUUCAAAAACUCCUAUACAAUCAGACCAAAGUC
rnacentral:misc_RNA from 1 species